rnacentral:lncRNA from 1 species
AGUCCCCGAGGCGGAUCCGGUGUUGCAUCCUUGGAGCGAGCUGAGAGCUCGAGGUGAGCUGGGCUCGCGGUCGCCCCUCUCGCGCGCCCUCUUUAAGAACCACGGCGUCCAACCUCCCUGGAAAUGGGGGGAACAUGGCCGAGGCGCGUGGCGAGGCCGCCUCGUGGAGGCCCCGGAGCGGCAUCCUCAGCGCCCCAGCGAUCCGGUGCCCAUUAGUACAGAACCUGCUAAGGCCAUCAAACCUAUUGAUCGGAAGUCAGUCCAUCAGAUUUGCUCUGGGCCGGUGGUACCGAGUCUAAGCACUGCGGUGAAGGAGUUAGUAGAAAACAGUCUGGAUGCUGGUGCCACUAAUAUUGAUCUAAAGCUUAAGGACUAUGGAGUGGAUCUCAUUGAAGUUUCAGGCAAUGGAUGUGGGGUAGAAGAAGAAAACUUCGAAGGCUUAACUCUGAAACAUCACACAUCUAAGAUUCAAGAGUUUGCCGACCUACCUCAGGUUGAAACUUUUGGCUUUCGGGGGGAAGCUCUGAGCUCACUUUGUGCACUGAGUGAUGUCACCAUUUCUACCUGCCAUGUAUCGGCGAAGGUUGGGACUCGACUGGUGUUUGAUCACUAUGGGAAAAUCAUCCAGAAAACCCCCUACCCCCACCCCAGAGGGAUGACAGUCAGUGUGAAGCAGUUAUUUUCUACGCUACCUGUGCACCAUAAAGAAUUUCAAAGGAAUAUUAAGAAGGUACAGUAAAUUAAUCCUGGUUUUCAAGAAUAUUGGUUAAUGCACAUGAGCAAAAGAUUUACUAAAGAUGUUUAUUCUUCAGUUGAUUCCCUUCCCCUAAUUUAUUGAGAAAUGCUUUAUUUGCAUUUCUCAUUAAAGACUUAACUUCAGAA